ACACUGCGCCACAAAUACAUCGGA
rnacentral:siRNA from 1 species